UCGCUGGGCUUAUCUACAUCUAUCAAGGGCCAAGUAUACGAUGACAGCCCAUCAUUUAAAAGCCCAUUCGCCAUCCACAUAAUACAGGCCCAACUCAUCAGUCAGAGCAACUUAGCCUACUACUUUACCAUCCCUAUGGUAAAUGCCGAGGAAAGAGGGGCAAGUCAUGAAAAGACUCAAAAGUACAAGCAAAUGGGAG
rnacentral:lncRNA from 1 species